AUGAAACGGCGACCGGCGUGUCGCACUGGAGGCCUCAUAAGCCACGACCUGCUCAUGGUGAAUGGUGAUCACGAGAGCACGGAGCUUGUGCUCUGUGAGCCAAUCGCUGCUGCCUGCGCGAGCAAGCCAUGGCGCCAAGCUCAACUGCUAAACCGUCGGCACUCCCGUCCGGCAGUCACCUCUCUCGCGCCGAGCUCCACCAAUCCGUUCGCCGCUCGCACGUCUUCCUGCGGAAGCAGAGCCAUCGCCGUCGCCUGGCCGGCGUCGUCCGGGCCGCGCCGGAAGCGCCGUCGGUGGUCAGGGCGGCCGUCGGCGCCAUCACCGAGCUCCUCAGGGCACUGUCCCCAAACAAGAAGCCCAGGCAAGGCUCCACAGACCACAAAUCUACUCAUGAUUCGAUCCUCUCCUCGCUUUGGAUUCCAUGGCGUGGGCAUAGCUAUGAGCGGUUUUCUUGCUCGACGGUUCAGGGGCGAUGCUGGCGGAGCAGAGCCUGGUCCGCCUCUCGGCGGCGUCGAGGAUGUGGUCGCCGUGCUCGAAGACGAUUACCGGCGGGCAUACUUCCUCACUGGAUUGCAGGGGAUUUCACUCCGAGCAUAUACGCGGAAAAUUGCUUGUUUGAGGAUCCGACGAUAAAGUUCCGCGGACGGUCUAGGUACUCUCAGAAUCUGGAUUUGCUAGUGCCGUUCUUCGACAGUCCUUCGCUUGAGCUGGAAAACAUUGAAAAGGGUUCAAGGGUUGAAACAAAGUUCGUCAAAGCAACAUGGAAACUAAGGACAUACUUAAGGCUUCCAUGGAGGCCCCUGAUUGCGAUUAGAGGCAACACAACAUACGAUCUGAACAAAGACUACAAGGUGAUUCGGCACUCUGAGAGCUGGGAUGUCUCCGCGCUUGAGGCCAUCGGUCAGAUAUUCGUAUCCGCUCCGGAGCAGCAGAAAGGCAGCUGAUCGAUGCUGAUGCAUGCAGUACUGUGCAUAAGUAAUUUUUAUGUGAAGUGUACAAGUAACAUGGACUUGCGUCAUUUGUUAAGUGAGAUAUCCAUGUAAGGCUGAUGCGAGGAUGAACAACAUUUGGGCUGCAAAUUAAGAACUCAGUAAUGUUCAAAUCGAUCAUGGAUCGGCAAUGUUCAAAACUGAUAGCCAAACUCUGAAAGCUCCAUUUCAGAAAAUUGGCAAUAUUCACAUCAUCUGCCCCCUCCUUUUUGACCGGAGACAGCAACGAACUAAAACGAGUAAGGGAGUCGGAUAAGAGAUCCAAAAGAAACCAGAACUAUCUCUGGAAGUCGAGCACACAAGGCCGCGAAGCUUCUCGAAGAUGCUCUCAACCUGUCAACGUGGUUCGUGAACAUGCGCCGGAAUCUGCUCGCCCGCCUCCACUGGAACGUCGUCGCCUCCCGCCUCGGCAAAAAUGGUCCGUACCAUCCACCUCACGCUCGGAGGCUCGGAUCCUAGGGUUAGGGUCAAUCGGCCGCGGCUAUGGCUCGGCGGAGGGCUCCGGUAUGAUGAUUUGUACGACGGUACGACCCGUACCACGACUUGGACAUCAAGGAGGCGCUGGCGCGGUGUCAGCAACGCUACUGGAGCUGAACGCCCAAGGAGCAGCGCGGAAGCGAGCUAGUUCAAAUUUGUUGGUUGGCUUCGUUCGUUUGCUAAGUUGGCGUGGUUGGGUGUCCAGCUGUCGCGAGUGGUCCCUCUGGGCAGUGGUAGCCGUGGGUAUAUAAACGGCUUGUAACAGAAUUCUAAGGACAGCGAUGAAAAAUAUUCAGAACUCA